rnacentral:rRNA from 1 species
UGGGGAAUUUUGGACAAUGGGGGAAACCCUGAUCCAGCCAUCCCGCGUGUGCGAUGAAGGCCUUCGGGUUGUAAAGCACUUUUGGCAGGAAAGAAACGUCGCGGGUUAAUACCCCGCGAAACUGACGGUACCUGCAGAAUAAGCACCGGCUAACUACGUGCCAGCAGCCGCGGUAAUACGUAGGGUGCAAGCGUUAAUCGGAAUUACUGGGCGUAAAGCGUGCGCAGGCGGUUCGGAAAGAAAGAUGUGAAAUCCCAGAGCUUAACUUUGGAACUGCAUUUUUAACUACCGGGCUAGAGUGUGUCAGAGGGAGGUGGAAUUCCGCGUGUAGCAGUGAAGUGCGUAGAUAUGCGGAGGAACACCGAUGGCGAAGGCAGCCUCCUGGGAUAACACUGACGCUCAUGCACGAAAGCGUGGGGAGCAAACAGGAUUAGAUACCCUGGUAGUCCACGCCCUAAACGAUGUCAACUAGCUGUUGGGGCCUUCGGGCCUUGGUAGCGCAGCUAACGCGUGAAGUUGACCGCCUGGGGAGUACGGUCGCAAGAUU